CAGUCGUGAUUUGCAAAAAAUCUAGUGCUACUUUUUUAAGACGUCAUAAAAAUUAAGAAAUCCUUUUAAGAAAAUUUUCUGCGACAACGCUAUUUGUUAAUCAAAUAAAUUUCGUAUUCAGUAACCGUAUUCAUUCAUCCUAUAUAGAAAUCGUUUUGCGAAGAACACUCGCCUUAUCAAACAGUUUUAUAACGUUAUUGUUUAAAUCAAUUCUCUCAUAAACAACAAAUACGUGUGUGAUCUGUUUUUUUAAACAAUAUUAUCGAAAAAAAUUCUGACAUAUGGUUUAAAAGAUAUAACUAAGAUAAGAGAAAUAUAUCUAUACCAAGAUCUGUACAAUAGAAGUAAAAUUCUUUUUACAGUAUACUUGUGAUCAAUAGUUUCUCCAUCAGGUUAUGCCCCCUUAACCAUUGAGUAUUAUUUGAUAAUAUUAGUUGUAUAUGUUCUUAGGCAUCGUAGUUGAAACACUAAAUUUAACCAAAUGCGUCUUUGUUCUUUUAACAGUCUGCAGUAUGUUUGUACAAGAGAACGAUUUCAUUUUUUAAAGCAUCAUGGCUUUUAAACAUAUAAAACCAAGUUAUCCUAGUAAAAUUCUUGUAAAACGAUGAAGGUGUUAUGAAUUAUGUAGGCCUUGUACUUGUAACAACAUAAUCCAUUGAUUAGCGUUAAGUCUAAAAAUAUACAUGGCUUAACAAGUUUUUCUAGUUUUCUGUCUGCUUCAACAUAAGUUUUGUUUGCAUGAUGUCAUUACCUACAAAUAAGAUUUGGGUAAUUGUGUAAAAUGUUUAAAACUCCAUUUUAUUAACUUUUUUAACGAUGAAAAAAAAAGAGUAUGCUUCGUUAUCAUAUUACAUUUUAUCGAAAAUUAAAGUUAUUAUUGUCAUGAUUUAAUUAUAUUUUGCGUAUCUUGAUUCAGCUCUCGUAUGUGUUGGUUGACAGGUUGAACUACCAUGAAUAGUUAUUGUCUACUUAUGAAAAAUAGCCUCUCAGGAAUAGAAACAACAACGCUAGUGAAACUCGUUAUGACACUUGAAGCAUACAGUUUACCUUAUAAGCACAGUUAAGUGAUUCACAAAAAAAAAAAAUUAAACCAUUGAGUUUAAUUUCCUUCCCAAAACACUCUGUAUUGUUUGAGGACUUAUAAAUGAUCUAAUAAAUAAUCAGUUUCUUCAAUUCAUGAUAUAGACUCUCAAAACAUGAGUUAUAUAAAGUGUUUUUAAGAAAGCAUAAUGUAUUUGUUUAGUUUACAAAAAGUCGUUUUUUGAAGUUAGGUUACCAUACUCAAAAUUAUGUUUUGCCUUACCUAUGUAAUUUUAUGCAUAACGCUUUUACCUAAAAUUAAUAUGCAAAGAAAAUUUAUCAAAGUGAAACUCGUAGCAUUAAUGAUGAAUCCCCAGAGCAACUAAAUUUUAAAAACUAUUUUUUUCUGAGUUAAACAAAUUUACAUCUA